rnacentral:lncRNA from 1 species
GUGUUGUUCAAUGAUAUUUUGUUAUUAAAAGAUAAAGAUGAAUAAGAGUAUUGGGAGCAUUUAAAGAAUUGUGUUCUUUGUCAUCUUCCUAUUAAUAAUUUUAUAUAUCGUGAAUUAACAAUUGUACCAAUUGAUCUUCCUUGUUUUGUAUGUGUUCACAAAAAAAAGGCUCCUACCAUGCUUUUAUGUGGUCAAUGCCAAUGUGGGUGGCAUAUGGCAUGUUUGAUACCACUUCUUUCAAAUCUUCCAAUAGAAGAUUAAAUUUGUCUU